rnacentral:rRNA from 1 species
UACGUAGGGUGCGAGCGUUAAUCGGAAUACUGGGCGUAAAGCGUGCGCAGGCGGUGAUGUAAGACCGAUGUGAAAUCCCCGGGCUUAACCUGGGAACUGCAUUGGUGACUGCAUUGCUGGAGUGUGGCAGAGGGGGGUGGAAUUCCACGUGUAGCAGUGAAAUGCGUAGAGAUGUGGAGGAACACCGAUGGCGAAGGCAGCCCCCUGGGUUAACACUGACGCUCAGGCACGAAAGCGUGGGGAGCAAACAGG